rnacentral:rRNA from 1 species
GUAAGGAAUAUUGGUCAAUGGGGGGAACCCUGAACCAGCCAUGCCGCGUGCAGGAAGACGGCCCUACGGGUUGUAAACUGCUUUUGCACGGGAAUAACCCCCGGUAUGUAUACCGGGCUGAAUGUACCGUGAGAAUAAGGAUCGGCUAACUCCGUGCCAGCAGCCGCGGUAAUACGGAGGAUCCGAGCGUUAUCCGGAAUUAUUGGGUUUAAAGGGUGCGUAGGCGGCGCGCUAAGUCAGGGGUGAAAGACGGUGGCUCAACCAUCGCAGUGCCUUUGAUACUGGCGCGCUUGAAUGUACCUGAGGUAGGCGGAAUGUGGCAAGUAGCGGUGAAAUGCAUAGAUAUGCCACAGAACACCGAUUGCGAAGGCAGCUUACCAAAGUACGAUUGACGCUGAGGCACGAAAGCGUGGGGAUCGAACAGGAUUAGAAACCCUAGUAGUCC